UAGGGAAUCUUCGGCAAUGGACGGAAGUCUGACCGAGCAACGCCGCGUGAGUGAAGAAGGUUUUCGGAUCGUAAAGCUCUGUUGUAAAAGAAGAACGAGUGUGAGAGUGGAAAGUUCACACUGUGACGGUAUCUUACCAGAAAGGGACGGCUAACUACGUGCCAGCAGCCGCGGUAAUACGUAGGUCCCGAGCGUUAUCCGGAUUUAUUGGGCGUAAAGCGAGCGCAGGCGGUUAGAUAAGUCUGAAGUUAAAGGCUGUGGCUUAACCAUAGUACGCUUUGGAAACUGUUUAACUUGAGUGCAAGAGGGGAGAGUGGAAUUCCAUGUGUAGCGGUGAAAUGCGUAGAUAUAUGGAGGAACACCGGUGGCGAAAGCGGCUCUCUGGCUUGUAACUGACGCUGAGGCUCGAAAGCGUGGGGAGCAAACAGGAUUAGAUACCCUGGUAGUCCACGCCGUAACGAUGAGUGCUAGGUGUUAGACCCUUUCCGGGGUUUAGUGUCGCAGCUAACGCAUUAAGCACUCCGCCUGGGGAGUACGACCGCAAGGUU
rnacentral:rRNA from 1 species